rnacentral:rRNA from 1 species
CCUACGGGAGGCACCAGUGGGGAAUAUCGGACAAUGGGCGAAAGCCUGAUCCAGCAAUGCCGCGUGCGUGAAGAAGGUCUUCGGAUUGUAAAGCACUUUCGACGGGGACGAUGAUGACGGUACCCGUAGAAGAAGCCCCGGCUAACUUCGUGCCAGCAGCCGCGGUAAUACGAAGGGGCUAGCGUUGCUCGGAAUGACUGGGCGUAAAGGGCGCGUAGGCGGUUUAUGCAGUCAGAUGUGAAAUCCCCGGGCUUAACCUGGGAACUGCAUUAGAGACGCAUAGGCUAGAGGUCGAGAGAGGGUUGUGGAAUUCCCAGUGUAGAGGUGAAAUUCGUAGAUAUUGGGAAGAUCACCGGUGGCGAAGGGGGCAACCUGGCUCGAUACUGACGCUGAGGCGCGAAAGCGUGGGGAGCAAACAGGAUUAGAUACCCCAGUAGUC